rnacentral:rRNA from 1 species
UACGGAGGGGGCUAGCGUUGUUCGGAAUUACUGGGCGUAAAGCGCGUGUAGGCGGUUCUACAAGUGAGUUGUGAAAGCGGUCGGCUCAACCGGGCGAGGCCAAUUCAGACUGUAGGACUGGAGGACGGCAGAGGAGUGUGGAAUUCCGGGUGUAGCGGUGAAAUGUGUAGAGAUCCGGAGGAACACCAGAGGUGCAGACGACGCUCUGGGCCGUACCUGACGCUGAGACGCGAAAGCGUGGGGAGCCAACGGG